UGCAACGAGGGAGCCCUUGAAAUUUCAAUUCGAGCUACAUGUAUUUCGAAAUACGAAUGAGUUUAGUUUUCAUAUAGGCUCUAAUGUGCACACAUGUUCACAUUUCAGCUUCAAAAAUUUAUUUGUUUGUGCAGUGUGUUGAAAGAAUUUGUUUCUAAAAUGCUAGGUGUAGUUCUUAAAGUAAUUGUGCCCGUCCUGAUGCGCUCCAUGAUACCUUCCGUGGGACGUAAUCUCGUCCAAUGCGGAUCCAAAACAUGUUUGUCGGGGCCAUUGCGCAAGGGCUUACAUAUGCGUCGGGGUCUAGAAGUGGUGCGAUUACAGAAGGGAGCUCGCUGAUUUUAGGUUUCUGUUUGCCGUAUAUCUCGAACUGUCACUCGUAUAUGUCAUUUUAGUGUUUGGAACAUUUUCAAAUACAAAAAAUUAAAAUUUUUGAUCAGAUUUGAGGGAGAAUCUAGCUGCCCUCUUGGCAUAAGAUAUGAUUAAAAGCAUGUGCAUAUUCUAGCCACAUAAACAAA